rnacentral:rRNA from 1 species
UACGGAGGAUGCAAGCGUUAUCCGGAUUUAUUGGGUUUAAAGGGUGCGUAGGCGGGAAAAUAAGUCAGUGGUGAAAUCCUACAGCUUAACUGUAGAAUUGCCGUUGAUACUGUUUUUCUUGAGUAUGGUCAAGGAAGGCGGAAUGUGUAAUGUAGCGGUGAAAUGAUUAGAUAUUACACAGAACACCAAUUGCGAAGGCAGCUUUCUGGCCCAUUACUGACGCUGAGGCACGAAAGCGUGGGGAUCGAACAGGAUUAGAUACCCCGGUAGU